GGGCCCGCACAAGCGGUGGAGUAUGUGGUUUAAUUCGAUGCAACGCGAAGAACCUUACCAGGGUUUGACAUCCUGCGAAUUUCUGGGAAACCGGAAAGUGCCUUCGGGAGCGCAGUGACAGGUGGUGCAUGGCUGUCGUCAGCUCGUGUCGUGAGAUGUUGGGUUAAGUCCCGCAACGAGCGCAACCCACGUCUUUAGUUGCCAGCAUUUAGUUGGGCACUCUAGAGAGACCGCCGGUGACAAACCGGAGGAAGGUGUGGAUGACGUCAAGUCAUCAUGCCCCUUACGUCCUGGGCUACACACGUACUACAAUGCUACGGACAAAGAGCAGCAAGUUCGCGAGGACAAGCAAAUCUCAUAAACCGUGGCUCAGUUCAGAUCGUAGGCUGCAACUCGCCUACGUGAAGGAGGAAUCGCUAGUAAUCG
rnacentral:rRNA from 1 species